rnacentral:lncRNA from 1 species
CCAACAUCAGUGGAGAACUUAACAUCAGGCUGUCUGGACUCCAAGAAUGGGUCCUUGCUGGAACCUGGCUUCCAUUCCUGUGAUUCCUCCAAAAGAAAGAUCAUUCUCAGAACCCCAGAUUGGGAUCCCUAAUUGUCAAUGCAAAAACCACAGCUCUAAUCUUAAAGGGAAUAAGAGAUAGUUUAUUCUGGAGCUGGUAUGAGUGAUCAUUAUAGGUUUACAGACAAUUCCACUAGGCUCCUCCUGGGAGCCUAGCAACAGUGGCCUAGCAACAGCUUACAUCAUCACCUGCUUCCGGGUACAAGCCAGGUGCCUCAGCUUAUAAGAAGACUGCUACCCAACACUCUCUCCCUUUCUUCACUCUCUCUUUCUUGUCCCCACAUGUUCCCGGCUGGCCUCUUCCUCCUCUCUCUUUUUAUCUUUCUCCCCUCCUUUUUCUGCCCCCAUCCAGCCCUCCCCCUGCCCCUAACAAAUCUUCUUUAUACUAGGCCUGAGGGAUGGUGUGAUUCCUCAGAGGGAGACCUUUUCUGGGCUCACUAACUGUCCUGUCACCUCCACCACAAUUAUACCGCAUUAUGAUUGUGGUUUGAAUAUGCUUGUCCUAGGGAGUGGCAUUAUUAGGAGGUAUGGCCUUGUUGGAGGAAGUGUGUCACUGUGGGGGUGGACAAUAAGACCCUCCUCCUAGCUGCCUGGGAGACAGUCUAUCCUGGAUGCAGUCAGGUCAAGAUGCAGAACUCUCAGCUCCUUUUCCAGAACUGUGUCUGCCUGGAUUCUGCUGUGCUACCUACUGUGAUGAUAAUGGACUGAACCUCUGAAACGUUGCUAGGAGUUGAACUCAGAACCUCUGGAAGAUCUCUUAACCGCUGAGCCAUUUCUACAGCCACCCAAGAGCUCUAGUUUUUAUGUCAACACUACUUAGAAAACCGGAAAGAGCAACAGAAGAGCAGCUGGCAGGACACAGCCCACGAAUCACUGAGCAAUCCCAUGUCUGGCCGUUUCUCCUUCAAGCAAAAUGUAUGAUCAUCUGUACUGCUGGAAGUUACUGCUGCCCACAUUGAUGAUUUCCCUUCAUCAGUGUCUUUCAGGGUUGCUCCAGAAAGGAGAGGUAGGAGCUCAGCUGGGUUCAAGAGAGAGACAUAUGCAGCUAGAGUCAAGAGCUCCGGGGUACUGGUUAGUUCAUAAUGUUGAUCCACCUAUAGGGUUGCCUUGAUGGCAAUAGAGCAUCUGAGAUGAUGAGGACAGACACUUGAGCUGAGAAAGCAGUGCUAUCCACUGUGUUCCUCCUCUCAAGGAUGCAGUUGUGUAGAGAACAGGAUGGACCAAACUGAGAGAUGACUGAGCACCGGAUGUCCCUUGUGAUUCUCAGAGUGCCAUGAGAUGAGCCCUCUGUUACAUCACAGGGUAAAUCCCUGCCUUAAUAAUAGCAGAGUGCUUUGCCUGAGGAUAACUCAGAGUCCAGCAAGGAGGGCUGGGAUUCACACUUUGCAUGUGUGUCUGCCUAGGCUUGGGCUGUUUUCUGGGAUGGACUACCUGAAAUUCAUCAGGUCCACAUCCAUAUGUGUGAAAGUGCAUGAGGAGGACAUGGAAUGAUGCCACAAUAAACAGUUGCUGUAAGUAUCAGCCAUGUGUGUGCAUAUGCACAUGCUAAAGAGCUUGCCAAACAAGUACUCAGGGAGACAACACCUACAACUCACCAGUUGUAGUUACACAAGUCAGGGUACUUUAUGUUAAGAGAGAAAGCAUGGUUAUUCCUCAUGUUACAUCUAGGCACAUGGGAAGAAGCUGGAGAGAGAUGUGGUCAGCCUCUGUUACCUCAUAUAGCCUGUUGCCAUGGUUAAAGGCUGUGGUGUUGGUGUGAGGGAGCUCAGGGGUGGGCUGGGAUCUGGAAGGAACUGCAGGUUUGUUUGGCUGUAUGUUGGGAGAAUAUAUACAGAUUCCUGUGAUGAAGUCCUGCCUAAACCUCAUUGUGCUGUACUGGGAGAUAGGAGUGAGGAAGUGUAUGAAGCCUAAUGUGGUCCUUGAAGUGACCUUUAGCAGGGCCUGUACUAAAGCAGUAGAAACUGUUGCAGUAAGUAUCAGCAGUGUGUGUGUGUGUGUGUGUGUGUGUGUGUGUGUGUGUGUGUGUGUGUAGAGGAUCAUAUCAGUUGUUUCUUUAGUGACAUUCUCAGAAGUCAUUGACUAUUAUGAUGAGGCCAGGGAGGGAAAUUUCCUGAAAUGCUGCUUUCUGGGAAAUCCUAGUACAAGCUGUGUUUAAUGGUGGUGAAGAGACAGGUUAGAGGCCAAAAUUUCAAUCAAUUUGAUACCAGUCCAAAAGGCACCUGUGUGCCUGGACAUCCUUUGAGCUUUCCUAAACAGAGUGAGGCUUGGCCUCUGUGACCUCACAGAAGGGGUCACUGUCAUGGUUAUGGGUGUGCCCUAGUUCUGAGGGCAGCAGAGUCCAUGAUAGGAGAAGGUGGCAAGAGAUCCUUUCUAGAUCAAGGCUAAAAACAAAGAAGCUUUGGACAAAUUUGAACUCAAAAGAAUCCAGUACUUCAAACAUAAAAAGAAUCAUAUAACCUGAUAGUGAGGAUUUCUGGACCUAGAUAAGUAGGACUGGAAAGAAAGAGGCCUGGACAAACAAAAAGGAAAAAAAAAAAAAAAAAAAAAGAGUGUGGGCAAUGGGAAAAUCUGACCUGGAAGGAGGUCAGGACCAAAAAAAAAAAAAAAAAUAGAGAUAUGGGCCUAGGCCUAUCCCUGCUCUAGAAGAACCCCAGGCCAAAAACAAAAAGUGAUGUCGACCUGGGCAAAUCCCUGACAUUUGAAGAGACCUGGCAUAAAGUAAUAAGUAACUUUGAGAGGCCCAGGCCCAAAGCAAGAAUUGAUGAGGGCCUGGACCUAUCCCUCACUCAUGAAGAGGCCCAGGCCAAAAUCAAGGAGUGAUGUGGGUCUUGGCUUAUCCCAGACAGUUAAAGAGGGCCGGGCCGAAAAAUAAAAAAAUGAUGUGGGCCUGGACCUAACCCUGACCCUUGAAGAGACCGGGGCAAAAAAAAAGCAAAAUGUGAUGUGGGCCUGGGCCUAUCCCUGCAAUUUAAAGAGGCCUGGGCACAAUGCAAGAUAUGAAGAGGGUCUGGGCCUAUGCCUGACCUUUGAAGAGGCCCGGAAAAAAACAAAAAAACCCAAAAAAACGAGGGCCUGGGCCAAAAAAAAGAAAUGAUGUGGGACUGGGCCUAUCCCUGAAAUUUGAAGAGGCUGGGCUUAAAGAAAGAAGUGAUGUGGGCCUGGGGCUAUCCCUGUAAUUUAAAGAGGACUGGGCCUAAGACAAGAAGUGAAGAGGGUCUGGGCCUAUGUCUGACCCUAGAAGAGCCUUGGGACAAAAGGAAGAAGUGAUGUGGGCAUUGGCUUAUCCCCACCCACCCCCCCAAACCAUGAAGAGGCCUAUCCCCGACAUAAGAAGAGGCCCGGGCCACAAGAAAGAAGUUAAAGUGCCUGGUUCUAUCCCUGAAGUUUGAAGAGGCCCGGGCCUAAAGAAAGAAGUUUUAUGUUCCUGGGCCUAUUCCUGAACAUUAAAGAGGCCCAGGCCAAAGUAAAUAAGAGAAGAGGCCCGGGCCAAAAUGAAGAAGUGACGUGGGCCUGGGCCUAACCCUGACCCUUGAAGAAGCCCAGGCCAAAAGGAAGAAGUGAUGUGGACCUGGGCCUAACCCUGACACUUGAAGAGGCCCAGGCCUAAAGCAAGAAGUGAUGUGGGCCUGGGCCUAUACCUGAAGUUUACUUUUCCCUCUCCUUCCUCACUGGAUUGUAGGCUUUUCACAGACCCAGGCUCGGAGUUACUGAGCGACCCAGAAGGCAUGGCAGAGGCUUCAUCUGUCUCCCUGCCUCCACUCACUUCCCUUGCUGUGGCCUUCCCACCUGGCCUGGAAAGGGGUCUCUGUGGAAAACUUCUGGUACUUAGGCCCACAUCUGGAGACCAAAUUGGGGCAAGAGUGAACAAAACGAACACACAGAACUAAUACUCCAGGAAGGACCAGCCUAAGCCUAUCUGGGUUCCUGCCAGAAAUGUCAGGCACCACCCCACUGACCAAGAAGAUGGCCCGCCUCUCAGUGGCAGACCAAGGACAGAAGAAGGGGAGGAGGAGGCAGAGGAAACACCACACGCAGAAGGACAAAAAAAUCUCCUGGAAGGACAUCCAUAACCUGGUGACUGCUGCCCAGGCAAUGUGCCCUUCACAAGCCCCACUCUCCUCUAUUCUCUUGGCUUUUUUGUCAUUCUUCAUGCUAACUCUAUUGUUGCCCAGCCUCUCCUUAGCCUUCAAAACACCCAUCAUUGGAGAUUCUAUGCUAGGGAAACCUACAAUGGACACAACAAAGUUAUAGGGACCCAGGACUGUCCAAUAGAAGGAUAUCGAACCAGGAUUGAGAUCCCCCUACACCCAGAUUCCAUCUCCACUACACCCAGCCCUUUUCUCUGCUUUCCUUACCAAAACACAGGUGAAUGCCUCCAGGAGGUCUCUGCAUAUGGAGGUUGCAGAUACUGGAGCUGCAGAAUGGAAUCCACCAGUCAUGGUGGCACAAUGCUCAAAAACCUUAAAACUCAUUUUCAGCUUUCAAUCGGCGAUCCAUGGGAUGAACGUUGGCAGACCGGAGUCAUGGGUAAACUUUCCCCAAAUACCCAGUUGCUGACCUGCAAAUCUCCUGUGAGCUGAGCUUGUUCCUGCCUCCAAAUCAGUCUUUACUCAUGCUAACAUUAUCCAACAGGAAAAUCAGUCUCAGAAGAAGUUGUGAGCUACCCUCUCCUGUCUACAGUAUAUCCAAUAUGCAGCUGACCUCCUUUCCUUAACAACCCAUCCUAACUCCUCUCAAUGCUUUUUCUGUGCUUCUCUCUUCUGACCAUUAUUAGCAGCUGUUCCCAUUAACAUUUCCCUUCAUGACCUCCAUGGAACCAUACCCACGAGGAAAGCACAGGACAUUCCUCUCUUUGACCUACCCCCCCCCCCCCACUUGGUCUACAGGCUAGAUGUAUAGAGUGAUAGAAUAGGCUUCUCCUCAAGUGUCAGCAUGUAAAGAAAGAAGAGUCACUAAAACAUUAAAUGUCAUCAUUGGUGUUAAGGUAUGUAAGCACUAUGGGC